UACGGAGGAUGCAAGCGUUAUCCGGAUUCAUUGGGUUUAAAGGGUGCGUAGGCGGACUAUUAAGUCAGUGGUGAAAGCCUGCAGCUUAACUGCAUAACUGCCAUUGAUACUGAUAGUCUUGAGUUUGGUUAAGGUAGGCGGAAUGUGUAAUGUAGCGGUGAAAUGCUUAGAUAUUACACAGAACACCAAUUGCGUAGGCAGCUUACUGAGCCGACACUGACGCUGAGGCACGAAAGCGUGGGGAUCGAACA
rnacentral:rRNA from 1 species